rnacentral:rRNA from 1 species
UACGUAGGGUGCAAGCGUUAAUCGGAAUUACUGGGCGUAAAGCGUGCGCAGGCGGUUGUGCAAGACAGAUGUGAAAUCCCCGAGCUUAACUUGGGAACUGCAUUUGGGACUGCAAAGCUGGAGUACGGCAGAGGGAGGUGGAAUUCCACGUGUAGCAGUGAAAUGCGUAGAGAUGUGGAGGAACACCGAUGGCGAAGGCAGCCUCCUGGGCUAGUACUGACGCUCAUGCACGAAAGCGUGGGGAGCAAACAGG